GACGAGUCUGACGAACGUUAUUCGGAAUUACUGGGCUUAAAGGGUGCGUAGGCGGUGGAGUAAGUUGGAUGUGAAAUACCUUAGCUUAACUAAGGAACUGCACUCGAUACUACUUUGCUAGAGUAAGACAGAGGUGAGUGGAACUGAGGGUGGAGCGGUGAAAUGCGUUGAUAUCCUCAGGAACACCGGUGGCGAAGGCGACUCACUGGGUCUUUACUGACGCUGAUGCACGAAAGCGUGGGGAGCAAACAGG
rnacentral:rRNA from 1 species